UCGGUAAAGAGCGGCGGACGGGUGAGUAACGCGUGGGUAACCUACCCUGUACACACGGAUAACAUACCGAAAGGUAUGCUAAUACGGGAUAAUAUAUUUGGGAGGCAUCUCUUGAAUAUCAAAGGUGGGCCAGUACAGGAUGGACCCGCGUCUGAUUAGCUAGUUGGUAAGGUAACGGCUUACCAAGGCGACGAUCAGUAGCCGACCUGAGAGGGUGAUCGGCCACAU
rnacentral:rRNA from 1 species